GGAGGGGUAGCGAAGUGGCUAAACGCGGUUGACUGUAAAUCAACUCCUUCGGGUUCGGCGGUUCGAAUCUGCCCCCCUCCACCA
rnacentral:tRNA from 2 species